GACGAACGCUGGCGGCGUGCCUAAUACAUGCAAGUAGGACGCAGUUGCGAACGGGUGAGUAACGCGUCGGUAACUGCCUAUUAGAGGGGGAUAACUAUUGGAAACGAUAGCUAAUACCGCAUACUAGUAGAUAUACCUGCGUUGUAUUAGCUAGUAGGUAGGGUAAUGGCCUACCUAGGCGAAGAUACAUAGGCGACUGUGGAGGGUGAUCGGGCACGCUGGGACAGGACGACGGCCCCGACUCCUUCGGUAGGCAGCAGUAGGGAAUCUUCGGCAAUGGGGGUAACCCUGACCGAGCAACGCCGCGGGAGUGAAGAAGGUUUUCGGAUCGUAAAGCUCUGUUGUUAAGGAAGCGGUACUUACCCAGAAAGGAACGGCUAACUACGUGCCAGCCGCCGCGGUAAUUC
rnacentral:rRNA from 1 species